AACGCACCUUGCGCCCAUUGGUAUUCCGAUGGGCAUGCCUGUUCGAGUGUCUUGAAUUCAUCGCCGCCUCCGGUUUUGCGACCGGCUGGCGGCGGACUUGGGGGUCUGCCGCGGCGACGCGGCUCCCUUUGAAUGCAUCGGUGGGGUCUCCGAGCACCCACGGGCGUUGUAUUGUCCUCGUCCGACCGGGCCUCGCGUCCCCCGCCUCGACUGCCGUCCGAGCGGCGGUCAAGCACACUUUGAAAUCUGACCUCGAAUCAGGUAGGACUACCCGCUGAACUUAA
rnacentral:misc_RNA from 1 species